UUCGAGCGUCAGUACAACACUCAAGCCUAGCUUGGUCUUGGGCCUCGCCGGAGACGGCGGGCCUUAAAAUCAGUGGCGGCGCCUCUCGGGCCCUAAGCGUAGUAAUACUCCUCGCUACAGGGACCCGGUGGACGCUGGCCAGCAACCCCCAACUUUCUAAGUUUGACCUCGGAUCAGGUAGGGAUACCCGCUGAACUUAA
rnacentral:misc_RNA from 1 species